UUAAAUUAGCCAUAUAACCCUGAAAGCAUCCAGUCUUGUCUGAUCUCAGAAGUUAGGCAGGGUUGGGGCUGAUUACUACUUGGAUGGGAGGUCCUGGAACUAGCUAUAGUUAGAG
rnacentral:rRNA from 1 species